rnacentral:rRNA from 1 species
UACGUAGGCGGCAAGCGUUGUCCGGAAUUAUUGGGCGUAAAGGGAGCGCAGGCGGGAAACUAAGCGGAUCUUAAAAGUGCGGGGCUCAACCCCGUGAUGGGGUCCGAACUGGUUUUCUUGAGUGCAGGAGAGGAAAGCGGAAUUCCCAGUGUAGCGGUGAAAUGCGUAGAUAUCUGGAGGAACACCAAUGGCGAAGGCAGCUUACUGGACGACAACUGACGCUGAGGCACGAAAGCGUGGGUAGCGAAAGGG